UACGUAGGGUGCAAGCGUUAAUCGGAAUUACUGGGCGUAAAGCGUGCGCAGGCGGCUAUGCAAGACAGAUGUGAUAUCCCCGGGCUCAACCUGGGAACUGCAUUUGUGACUGCAUGGCUAGAGUACGGUAGAGGGGGAUGGAAUUCCGCGUGUAGCAGUGAAAUGCGUAGAUAUGCGGAGGAACACCGAUGGCGAAGGCAAUCCCCUGGACCUGUACUGACGCUCAUGCACGAAAGCGUGGGGAGCAAACAGG
rnacentral:rRNA from 1 species